CAGUCGCCACGGUAAUACGAAGGGGGCUAGCGUUGCUCGGAAUUACUGGGCGUAAAGGGCGCGUAGGCGGAUGUUUAAGUCAGAGGUGAAAGCCCAGGGCUCAACCUUGGAACUGCCUUUGAUACUGGACAUCUUGAGUAUGGGAGAGGUGAGUGGAACUCCGAGUGUAGAGGUGAAAUUCGUAGAUAUUCGGAAGAACACCAGUGGCGAAGGCGACUCACUGGCCCAUUACUGACGCUGAGGCGCGAAAGCGUGGGGAGCAAACAGGAUUAGAUACCCGAGUAGUCCCUGUCUCUAUACA
rnacentral:rRNA from 1 species